GACGAACGCUGGCGGCAUGCCUAAUACAUGCAAGUCGAGCGAACAGAUGAAGUGCUUGCACUUCUGACGUUAGCGGCGAACGGGUGAGUAACACGUAAGGAAUCUACCUAUAAGCGGGGGAUAACAUUCGGAAACGGGUGCUAAUACCGCAUAAUAUCUUCUUCCGCAUGGAAGAAGAUUGAAAGACGGCUCUGCUGUCACCUAUAGAUGACCUUGCGGUGCAUUAGUUAGUUGGCGGGGUAAUGGCAUACCAAGACGAUGAUGCAUAGCCGGCCUGGGAGGGUGAGCGGCCACAUUGGGACUGAGCCACGGCCCAAACUCCUACGGGAGGCAGCAGUAGUGAAUCUUCCGCAAUGGGCGAAAGCCUGACGGAGCAAUGCCGCGUGAGUGAAGAAGGCCUUCGGGUCGUAAAACUCUGUUAUAAGAGAAGAACAAAUUGUAGAGUAACUGCUACAGUCUUGACGGUAUCUUAUCAGAAAGCCACGGCUAACUACGUGCCAGCCGCCGCGGUAA
rnacentral:rRNA from 1 species